UACAGAGGUCCCGAGCGUUGUUCGGAUUCAUUGGGCGUAAAGGGUGCGUAGGCGGCGGGGAAAGUCUGAUGUGAAAUCCUGGGGCUCAACCCUGGAACUGCAUUGGAUACUUCCUUGCUAGAGUACUGGAGAGGAAACUGGAAUUUACGGUGUAGCAGUGAAAUGCGUAGAGAUCGUAAGGAAGACCAGUGGCGAAGGCAGAUCUCUGGGCCGUAACUGACGCUGAGGAGCGAAAGCAUGGGGAGCGAACAGG
rnacentral:rRNA from 1 species